rnacentral:rRNA from 1 species
AUGGAGGCCCUCGCCGGCGCCGCCGCCUCGUCCGCGCUCCUCCCUGCCUUCCCCGCCCACCAGCCUCACUCCCGCGUGGCCCUCCGCGCCCGCCCCUGCGGGCCCCUCCGCGCGGCCGCCGGAGGCGGAGGCAAGGACGACGCCGCGAAGCCGAACGGGACUCCCGUCGUCAAGUUGAAGGUUGAUCCAAGUCAAAAUGGAGCUCUCGGUCCGGUCGCAACUGACAAGUCACGCACGACCUCAUCAACCAAUUCAACUCCCGACUCAAGCGGAUCCAGAGCUGGCUUGUUCAGAACCCCUAUAUCUGGUGGUGUGCAGAGUGCAACUUUUGCCCAUGGUUUACCUCCACCAGCUUUGGCUGUUCGCAAUUUAAUGGAACAGGCGCGAUUUGCUCAUCUAUGCACUGUCAUGUCUGGCAUGCAUCAUCGACGCGCUGGAUAUCCAUUUGGUUCACUUGUUGACUUUGCUAAUGACUCAAUGGGCCACCCAAUAUUUUCUCUGUCGCCCUUAGCAAUCCACACCAGAAACUUGCUCUCUGAUCCAAGAUGCACACUUGUUGUCCAGGUACCUGGAUGGAGUGGAUUGUCUAAUGCUCGUGUCACAAUAUUUGGUGAUGUCUACCCUUUGCCAGCUGAACAACAGGAAUGGGCACAUAAGCAAUAUGUUGCAAAACAUCAACAAUGGGCGUCUCAACAGUGGGGAAAUUUUUACUACUACAGGAUGCAGAAUAUCAGCGACAUAUAUUUUAUUGGAGGCUUUGGCACUGUUGCAUGGGUAGAUGUGAAACAGUAUGAAACUAUUCAACCUGACAAGAUAGCAGUUGACGGCGGCGAGCAAAGCUUAAAGGAGUUGAAUGCUAUUUUCUCUAAACCACUUAGAGAGUUCAUGUCUGCUGAAGGGGAGGUUGACGAUGCUGCUCUUAUAUCCGUAGACAGCAAAGGGAUAGACAUUCGGGUUCGCCAGGGUGCACAGUUCAACAUCCAGAGACUUGCAUUUGAUGUACCAUACAAGGUGGAGACUCUAGAGGAGGCCAAGAGAGCACUCCAUAAGAUAAUCAAGACAAGCAGCAAAUAA